CAGCGAGGACGACCUCCCCAUUCAGGAAAAACCGCCGGGACGACCCGG
rnacentral:ncRNA from 1 species